GACGAACGCUGGCGGCGUGCUUAACACAUGCAAGUCGAACGGAAAGGCCCUGCUUUUGUGGGGUGCUCGAGUGGCGAACGGGUGAGUAACACGUGAGUAACCUGCCCUUGACUUUGGGAUAACUUCAGGAAACUGGGGCUAAUACCGGAUAGGAGCUCCUGCUGCAUGGUGGGGGUUGGAAAGUUUCGGCGGUUGGUGAUGGACUCGCGGCUUAUCAGCUUGUUGGUGGGGUAGUGGCUUACCAAGGCUUUGACGGGUAGCCGGCCUGAGAGGGUGACAGGACACAUUGGGACUGAGAUACGGCCCAGACUACUACGGGAGGCAGCAGUGGGGAAUAUUGCACAAUGGGCGGAAGCCUGAUGCAGCAACGCCGCGUGCGGGAUGACGGCCUUCGGGUUGUAAACCGCUUUCGCCUGUGACGAAGCGUGAGUGACGGUAAUGGGUAAAGAAGCACCGGCUAACUACGUG
rnacentral:rRNA from 1 species